rnacentral:miRNA from 8 species
AAACCCAGAUGAACUUUUUGGC